UUAAGCGACUAAGCGUACACGGUGGAUGCCCUGGCAGUCAGAGGCGAUGAAGGACGUGCUAAUCUGCGAUAAGCGUCGGUAAGGUGAUAUGAACCGUUAUAACCGGCGAUUUCCGAAUGGGGAAACCCAGUGUGUUUCGACACACUAUCAUUAACUGAAUCCAUAGGUUAAUGAGGCGAACCGGGGGAACUGAAACAUCUAAGUACCCCGAGGAAAAGAAAUCAACCGAGAUUCCCCCAGUAGCGGCGAGCGAACGGGGAGCAGCCCAGAGCCUGAAUCAGUGUGUGUGUUAGUGGAAGCGUCUGGAAAGGCGCGCGAUACAGGGUGACAGCCCCGUACACAAAAAUGCACAUAUUGUGAGCUCGAUGAGUAGGGCGGGACACGUGGUAUCCUGUCUGAAUAUGGGGGGACCAUCCUCCAAGGCUAAAUACUCCUGACUGACCGAUAGUGAACCAGUACCGUGAGGGAAAGGCGAAAAGAACCCCGGCGAGGGGAGUGAAAAAGAACCUGAAACCGUGUACGUACAAGCAGUGGGAGCACGCUUAGGCGUGUGACUGCGUACCUUUUGUAUAAUGGGUCAGCGACUUAUAUUCUGUAGCAAGGUUAACCGAAUAGGGGAGCCGAAGGGAAACCGAGUCUUAACUGGGCGUUAAGUUGCAGGGUAUAGACCCGAAACCCGGUGAUCUAGCCAUGGGCAGGUUGAAGGUUGGGUAACACUAACUGGAGGACCGAACCGACUAAUGUUGAAAAAUUAGCGGAUGACUUGUGGCUGGGGGUGAAAGGCCAAUCAAACCGGGAGAUAGCUGGUUCUCCCCGAAAGCUAUUUAGGUAGCGCCUCGUGAAUUCAUCUCCGGGGGUAGAGCACUGUUUCGGCAAGGGGGUCAUCCCGACUUACCAACCCGAUGCAAACUGCGAAUACCGGAGAAUGUUAUCACGGGAGACACACGGCGGGUGCUAACGUCCGUCGUGAAGAGGGAAACAACCCAGACCGCCAGCUAAGGUCCCAAAGUCAUGGUUAAGUGGGAAACGAUGUGGGAAGGCCCAGACAGCCAGGAUGUUGGCUUAGAAGCAGCCAUCAUUUAAAGAAAGCGUAAUAGCUCACUGGUCGAGUCGGCCUGCGCGGAAGAUGUAACGGGGCUAAACCAUGCACCGAAGCUGCGGCAGCGACGCUGAUGCGUUGUUGGGUAGGGGAGCGUUCUGUAAGCCUGCGAAGGUGUGCUGUGAGGCAUGCUGGAGGUAUCAGAAGUGCGAAUGCUGACAUAAGUAACGAUAAAGCGGGUGAAAAGCCCGCUCGCCGGAAGACCAAGGGUUCCUGUCCAACGUUAAUCGGGGCAGGGUGAGUCGACCCCUAAGGCGAGGCCGAAAGGCGUAGUCGAUGGGAAACAGGUUAAUAUUCCUGUACUUGGUGUUACUGCGAAGGGGGGACGGAGAAGGCUAUGUUGGCCGGGCGACGGUUGUCCCGGUUUAAGCGUGUAGGCUGGUUUUCCAGGCAAAUCCGGAAAAUCAAGGCUGAGGCGUGAUGACGAGGCACUACGGUGCUGAAGCAACAAAUGCCCUGCUUCCAGGAAAAGCCUCUAAGCAUCAGGUAACAUCAAAUCGUACCCCAAACCGACACAGGUGGUCAGGUAGAGAAUACCAAGGCGCUUGAGAGAACUCGGGUGAAGGAACUAGGCAAAAUGGUGCCGUAACUUCGGGAGAAGGCACGCUGAUAUGUAGGUGAGGUCCCUCGCGGAUGGAGCUGAAAUCAGUCGAAGAUACCAGCUGGCUGCAACUGUUUAUUAAAAACACAGCACUGUGCAAACACGAAAGUGGACGUAUACGGUGUGACGCCUGCCCGGUGCCGGAAGGUUAAUUGAUGGGGUUAGCGCAAGCGAAGCUCUUGAUCGAAGCCCCGGUAAACGGCGGCCGUAACUAUAACGGUCCUAAGGUAGCGAAAUUCCUUGUCGGGUAAGUUCCGACCUGCACGAAUGGCGUAAUGAUGGCCAGGCUGUCUCCACCCGAGACUCAGUGAAAUUGAACUCGCUGUGAAGAUGCAGUGUACCCGCGGCAAGACGGAAAGACCCCGUGAACCUUUACUAUAGCUUGACACUGAACAUUGAGCCUUGAUGUGUAGGAUAGGUGGGAGGCUUUGAAGUGUGGACGCCAGUCUGCAUGGAGCCGACCUUGAAAUACCACCCUUUAAUGUUUGAUGUUCUAACGUUGACCCGUAAUCCGGGUUGCGGACAGUGUCUGGUGGGUAGUUUGACUGGGGCGGUCUCCUCCUAAAGAGUAACGGAGGAGCACGAAGGUUGGCUAAUCCUGGUCGGACAUCAGGAGGUUAGUGCAAUGGCAUAAGCCAGCUUGACUGCGAGCGUGACGGCGCGAGCAGGUGCGAAAGCAGGUCAUAGUGAUCCGGUGGUUCUGAAUGGAAGGGCCAUCGCUCAACGGAUAAAAGGUACUCCGGGGAUAACAGGCUGAUACCGCCCAAGAGUUCAUAUCGACGGCGGUGUUUGGCACCUCGAUGUCGGCUCAUCACAUCCUGGGGCUGAAGUAGGUCCCAAGGGUAUGGCUGUUCGCCAUUUAAAGUGGUACGCGAGCUGGGUUUAGAACGUCGUGAGACAGUUCGGUCCCUAUCUGCCGUGGGCGCUGGAGAACUGAGGGGGGCUGCUCCUAGUACGAGAGGACCGGAGUGGACGCAUCACUGGUGUUCGGGUUGUCAUGCCAAUGGCACUGCCCGGUAGCUAAAUGCGGAAGAGAUAAGUGCUGAAAGCAUCUAAGCACGAAACUUGCCCCGAGAUGAGUUCUCCCUGACCCUUUAAGGGUCCUGAAGGAACGUUGAAGACGACGACGUUGAUAGGCCGGGUGUGUAAGCGCAGCGAUGCGUUGAGCUAACCGGUACUAAUGAACCGUGAGGCUUAACCUU
rnacentral:rRNA from 1 species